rnacentral:rRNA from 1 species
UACGAAGGGGGCUAGCGUUGCUCGGAAUUACUGGGCGUAAAGGGCGCGUAGGCGGACAGUUUAGUCAGAGGUAAAAGCCCAGGGCUCAACCUUGGAACUGCCUUUGAUACUGGCUGUCUUGAGUUCGGGAGAGGUGAGUGGAAUGCCGAGUGUAGAGGUGAAAUUCGUAGAUAUUCGGCGGAACACCAGUGGCGAAGGCGACUCACUGGCCCGAUACUGACGCUGAGGCGCGAAAGCGUGGGGAGCAAACGGG